rnacentral:ncRNA from 1 species
GUGGGGAGAGUAACUCUGAGAGGCUGUCAUUUCUGUGAUGUGCAUGUGUCAGGUGCACAUGCAUGUGUCAGGUGAGCUGCUCUGGAAACAGAAUUUGAUGGGGAAGUACAUUUACUGUACCACAACACAAAUGUCCUGAAGCAAGCUCAAGGAAAACAAAAACUUUAUGUGGGGAGUAGAAGAGAAGAAAGUGGCUUGUUCUUGAUUUUCAUUAAGACUACGGACCAUAAAAUCAGGGUCUCACAAUUAUUUGCUUUUCAGAAGUGUAAAUUGGAGGUCUCAGAACAGUUAAUGUAGGGAUAGCUGGUGGUCAACUGUCACUGAUAUCACUUUUCUUCCUCUACUUUGACUCUAC